CCAUUCUCUGGGAAAGUACUCACCCGCGAUAUUCAUUUUCAGCGGAGAGGGAAGAAAAUCCGAACCGGAAGUAGGUAUCAAUCUAUUGCUCAGAUGUGGAGCUUAUAGAGUUCAGCUGAACCUUAUCUUGAGGAUGCAUUUUUUUGAUCAGGUCGAUACAUCAAAGUAAUCUCUAUGCUCAGACUAGGACUUCCAGUCACAAGGAACAUGGCUCACCAUACCACUGCUCAAACUAGGGAAUAGCUCAAGAGGUGUGGAUAGAGAAAAACACCCAGAGGCUUAAGACCACAAUCCUUUUAUAGUAGGCCUCCUUAUUUUGAGUAAACUUAUGUGUAUGACAAUUUCAAUUGCUAAUUAGCAAUUCUAAUUUGUUCUUUACUUGCAUUAUGUGUAUUAUAAAUUGUAAGUGUAUUUUGGGUCUUAUAGGGUGAGUUAAUGAUUAUAUGUUGUUAUAAUAGGGCCAAAAUACUAAUGCAAGUAAGAGUUGACCAUAUUAUGAAAUGACUUGGGAGAACUCAAUGAAAAUUGUGGUAAACUCUCCCUUUUCAUUUUUUUUAAAUUCAAGGAGUUGAGUGGUAAAAACCUGAGUUAGAAGUAUUUCUUAUGUUAUGGUAUAUUGCAUGAGUCAAUCUUAAUGAUUUGUAUGUGAUUAAA